GUAGAGAUUAGAGAGAGAGAGAUCAAGGCAUUAAUUGCCAAAUAUUUCAUAAGAUCCUCAAAUCCUCUUUAAAGAUUCACAAAUCUUUUAUAAGAUUACCAAGAUCAUCUCAUAUCUUGCAAAUUCCUCUCUCUCCUUCUCCCCUAACUUUCGACCACCACCUCUCUCCCAUUCAUCUCUCUACUUUCCACCAUUUUCCUCCAUUGAUGCACCUUCGGAGCUUCACAAAUUCAUACCAAAACUCAAAUCACCCUCUAAAUCCACCUUAAACACCUUCCAUCUCCUUAGAUUCAAGAAGAUCCAUGGAGAUUCAAUCUUGAAGUUAGUAAGAGAAAAUUUGAUAUUUGGUGUAAACUUGGACACGAGCAGAGCAGGGAAGUAAGUAACUCCGCUUUGACGGGAGUUUUUGAGUAAGGUCUUCAGGCUAAGCGAGGAGCGAGAUUGGUCUGGUGCUGGCGGGGAAUUGUUAGGGGAUGUAUUUACUAUAUCGUAUUUCCAUUUUGACGAUAAAGUCUUGAUAAUUGAUAUACUUGGAUUUUCUUUUGAAGUUAAGCAAUGUACUCACGGUUAUAUGUCUUCAUACAUAUAAUCGAUUCGCCUUUUGCUGCGCUACUCUGCAUAUUAUGAUUCCUUACGAAAAAUGAGCGAUACCCGUUUUGUUUUU